rnacentral:rRNA from 1 species
AACGAACGCUGGCGGCAUGCCUAACACAUGCAAGUCGAACGAGACCUUCGGGUCUAGUGGCGCACGGGUGCGUAACGCGUGGGAACCUGCCCUUAGGUUCGGAAUAACUCCCCGAAAGGGGUGCUAAUACCGGAUAAUGUCUUCGGACCAAAGAUUUAUCGCCUUUGGAUGGGCCCGCGUUGGAUUAGCUAGUUGGUAGGGUAAAAGCCUACCAAGGCGACGAUCCAUAGCUGGUCUGAGAGGAUGAUCAGCCACACUGGGACUGAGACACGGCCCAGACUCCUACGGGAGGAAGAAGUGGGGAAUAUUGGACAAUGGGCGAAAGCCUGAUCCAGCAAUGCCGCGUGAGUGAUGAAGGCCUUAGGGUUGUAAAGCUCUUUUACCCGGGAUGAUAAUGACAGUACCGGGAGAAUAAGCUCCGGCUAACUCCGUG